rnacentral:tRNA from 1 species
GGGGAUGUAGUUUAGUGGUAGAGCACUUGCCCAGCAUGUAUGAGGUCUUGGGUUUGAUUCCUAGCACCCCCC